rnacentral:rRNA from 1 species
UGGGGGGUAUCGGGAUUACUGGGCGUAAGCGUGCGCAGGUGGUUACUUAAGUCAGGUGUGAAAGCCCUGGGCUUAACCUAGGAAUUGCGCUUGAGACUGGGUAGCUUGGAGUGCGGCAGAGGGAGGUGGAAUUCCACGUGUAGCAGUGAAAUGCGUAGAGAUGUGGAGGAACACCGAUGGCGAAGGCAGCCUCCUGGGCCAGCACUGACGCUCAUGCACGAAAGCGUGGGGAGCAAACAGGAUUAGAUACCCUGGUAGUCCACGCCCUAAACGAUGUCAACUGGUUGUUGGUGGGGUUAAACCCAUUAGUAACGAAGCUAACGCGUGAAGUUGACCGCCUGGGGAGUACGGCCGCAAGGUUAAAACUCAAAGGAAUUGACGGGGACCCGCACAAGCGGUGGAUGAUGUGGAUCAAUUCGAUGCAACGCGAAGAACCUUACCUACCCUUGACAUGCCAGGAAGCCCGCUGAGAGGUGGGUGUGCCCGAAAGGGAGCCUGGACACAGGUGCUGCAUGGCUGUCGUCAGCUCGUGUCGUGAGAUGUUGGGUUAAGUCCCGCAACGAGCGCAACCCUUGUCACUAGUUGCUACGCAAGGGCACUCUAGUGAGACUGCCGGUGACAAACCGGAGGAAGGUGGGGAUGACGUCAAGUCCUCAUGGCCCUUAUGGGUAGGGCUUCACACGUCAUACAAUGGCGCAUACAAAGGGCUGCCAACCCGCGAGGGGGAGCCAAUCCCAGAAAGUGCGUCGUAGUCCGGAUUGCAGUCUGCAACUCGACUGCAUGAAGUCGGAAUCGCUAGUAAUCGCGGAUCAGCAAUGUCGCGGUGAAUACGUUCCCGGGUCUUGUACACACCGCCCGUCACACCAUGGGAGUGGGUUCCACCAGAAGCCGGUUGCCUAACCGCAAGGGAGGCGCCGACCACGGUGAGAUUCAUGACUGGGGUGAAGUCGUAACAAGGUAAC